GGGGCUGUAGCUUAGUGACAGAGCAUCUGUUUUUCAUGCAGAAGGUCCCAGGUUCAAUCCCUGGCAACUCCA